rnacentral:rRNA from 1 species
AACGAACGCUGGCGGCAGGCUUAACACAUGCAAGUCGAACGCAUCCUUCGGGGUGAGUGGCAGACGGGUGAGUAACGCGUGGGAACGUGCCCUUCAGUUCGGGAUAACCCAGGGAAACUUGGGCUAAUACCGGAUACGUGCGAGAGCAGAAAGAUUUAUCGCUGAAGGAUCGGCCCGCGUCUGAUUAGCUAGUUGGUGGGGUAAUGGCCCACCAAGGCGACGAUCAGUAGCUGGUCUGAGAGGAUGAUCAGCCACAUUGGGACUGAGACACGGCCCAAACUCCAACGGGAGGCAGCAGUGGGGAAUAUUGGACAAUGGGCGCAAGCCUGAUCCAGCCAUGCCGCGUGAGUGAUGAAGGCCUUAGGGUUGUAAAGCUCUUUCGUCCGGGACGAUAAUGACGGUACCGGAAGAAGAAGCCCCGGCUAACUACGUGCCAGCAGCCGCCGUAA